rnacentral:rRNA from 1 species
CUAGUCCUACGGGACGCAGCAGUGAGGGAUAUUGGUCAAUGGGGGAAACCCUGAACCAGCAACGCCGCGUGAGGGAAGACGGUUUUCGGAUUGUAAACCUCUGUCCUCUGUGAAGAUAAUGACGGUAGCAGAGGAGGAAGCUCCGGCUAACUACGUGCCAGCAGCCGCGGUAAUACGUAGGGAGCGAGCGUUGUCCGGAUUUACUGGGUGUAAAGGGUGCGUAGGCGGGGAAG